UUGUUAUAUAUAUGUAGGACUCUAAAGUGCGAUGGUACUCUAAAGUGCGAUGGUCACGCUAAAGUGCGAUGGUCUACGCUAAAGUACGAUGGUGUCUCACGUUAAAGUGCAAUUGUUGUUUGUUCGCUAAAGUACGAUGGUAUAUCACGCUAAAAUGCGAUGGACCAAUAGGGUAAGGUUCUAGGGCUUUAUAAAAAACGUUAAAGAACACUCAAUGUAAAAAUAGUCCUUUUGUAUAAUCUAGUAUUAUAAGGUAUACCAUAUGUGAAAGGCAUUAUAAUUUAACAAUAGUUUGAAGUGAAUUAUUCUAAAAGACCGACCAUGUAAUAAUUGCUAAAAAUGUAAUUUGGGUGGCACAGAAUACUAUAUUUCUUGUACUAGUCAAUGAUUUUUUUACAAUUUUGGCGUAUUUACAAAUUUUGUGAUAAUUGGUGUAGCUUGCCGUUCACACGUAGUCUAUCACUUUUUGGAACACCUCCCCUUACAAUCUUCCUUAUAAUUAAAGAUACAAAAUGUAAUUAUUAUCGGAAUAUGUAACAUUUAUUUGUUUAAUUUAAAUGAGAGAGAAAGGCGAUUUUUGCUGAGCUUAAUAUACGCCUUUUUUGUAGCGACUACACAUCCAUGUUAUAUUAUCCUGCAAUGUGCAUGCUAAUGUUUUAGCCGACAAUUUAUAAUUUAUGCAUGAAAACAUGUCCCUUUAUUUUGCCGACGUUGCUUUUUAAUAAGAGCGACAACAUUUUAACGGAGACCGCACAAUAAACUGCAACAAAAACAAUGAUUUAAAUGCAUCCGUUCGCUUCCAAUAAAAGCAGGAUACAGGAUAUCUAUGCAAAUACUACUUGUAUCGACAGGGACUAUAGUAAACCGGUCGAGAGCAGGAUACAAGUUUUUC
rnacentral:lncRNA from 1 species